UUUGCGUCGAAGGUAUACCGGUAAGGAGUGCUGGAGCGAAUAGAAGUGAGCAUGCAGGCAUGAGUAGCGAUAAUUAAUGUGAGAAUCAUUAACGCCGUAAACCCAAGGUUUCCUACGCGAUGCUCGUCAUCGUAGGGUUAGUCGGGUCCUAAGUCGAGUCCGAAAGGGGUAGACGAUGGCAAAUUGGUUAAUAUUCCAAUACCAACAUUAGUGUGCGAUGGAAGGACGCUUAGGGCUAAGGGGGCUAGCGGAUGGAAGUGCUAGUCUAAGGUCGUAGGAGGUUGUACAGGCAAAUCCGUAUAACAAUACUCCGAGAACUGAAAGGCUUUUUGAAGUCUUCGGAUGGAUAGAAGAACCCCUGAUGCCGUCGAGCCAAGAAAAGUUUCUAAGUUUAGCUAAUGUUGCCCGUACCGUAAACCGACACAGGUGGGUGGGAUGAGUAUUCUAAGGCGCGUGGAAGAACUCUCUUUAAGGAACUCUGCAAAAUAGCACCGUAUCUUCGGUAUAAGGUGUGGUUAGCUUUGUAUUAGGAUUUACUCCGAAAGCAAGGAAACUUACAACAAAGAGUCCCUCCCGACUGUUUACCAAAAACACAGCACUCUGCUAACUCGUAAGAGGAUGUAUAGGGUGUGACGCCUGCCCGGUGCUCGAAGGUUAAUUGAUGGGGUUAGCAUUAGCGAAGCUCUUGAUCGAAGCCCGAGUAAACGGCGGCCGUAACUAUAACGGUCCUAAGGUAGCGAAAUUCCUUGUCGGUUAAAUACCGACCUGCAUGAAUGGCGUAACGAGAUGGGAGCUGUCUCAAAGAGGGAUCCAGUGAAAUUGUAGUGGAGGUGAAAAUUCCUCCUACCCGCGGCAAGACGGAGAGACCCCGUGGACCUUUACUACAGCUUGACACUGCUACUUGGAUAAGAAUGUGCAGGAUAGGUGGGAGGCUUUGAGUAUAUGACGCCAGUUGUAUAUGAGCCAUUGUUGAGAUACCACUCUUUCUUAUUUGGGUAGCUAACCAGCUUGAGUUAUCCUCAAGUGGGACAAUGUCUGGUGGGUAGUUUGACUGGGGCGGUCGCCUCCCAAAUAAUAACGGAGGCUUACAAAGGUUGGCUCAGAACGGUUGGAAAUCGUUCGUAGAGUAUAAAGGUAUAAGCCAGCUUAACUGCAAGACAUACAAGUCAAGCAGAGACGAAAGUCGGUCUUAGUGAUCCGGUGGUUCUGUGUGGAAGGGCCAUCGCUCAAAGGAUAAAAGGUACCCCGGGGAUAACAGGCUGAUCUCCCCCAAGAGCUCACAUCGACGGGGAGGUUUGGCACCUCGAUGUCGGCUCAUCGCAUCCUGGGGCUGGAGCAGGUCCCAAGGGUAUGGCUGUUCGCCAUUUAAAGCGGUACGCGAGCUGGGUUCAGAACGUCGUGAGACAGUUCGGUCCCUAUCUGCCGUGGGCGUAAGAAGAUUGAAGAGAUUUGACCCUAGUACGAGAGGACCGGGUUGAACAAACCACUGGUGUAGCUGUUGUUCUGCCAAGAGCAUCGCAGCGUAGCUAAGUUUGGAAAGGAUAAACGCUGAAAGCAUCUAAGCGUGAAGCCAACUCUAAGAUGAAUCUUCUCUAAGCUCUCUAGAAGACUACUAGUUUGAUAGGCUGGGUGUGUAAUGGAUGAAAGUCCUUUAGCUGACCAGUACUAAUAGAGCGUUUGGCUUAUCUUUAAUAAAGCAU
rnacentral:rRNA from 1 species